AACGAACGCUGGCGGCAUGCUUAACACAUGCAAGUCGAACGGGACCGCCGGGUCUAUGGGCGCAGCGGUGGGUGACGCGGGGGGACCUACACGUGAGUUCGGCAUAACUCACCGAAGGAGGUGCUAAUACCGGAGAAUGUCUUCCGACCAAAGAUUUAUUGCGGUUGGAUGGGCGUGAGUUGGUUUAGGUGGUUGGUAGGGUAAAAGCCUACGAAGGGGACGAUCGAUAGCUGGUGAGAGAGAAUGGUCAGACACACUGGGAGUGAGACACGGCCCAGACUCGUGCGGGAGGCGGGAGUGGGGAAUAUUGGAGAAUGGGCGAAAGCCUGAUCCAGCACGGCUGCGUGAGUGAUGAAGGCCGGAGGGAAGUAACGCUCUUUUAUCCGGGAGGAUAAUGACAGUACCGGGAGAAUAAGCACCGGCUAACUCCGUG
rnacentral:rRNA from 1 species